rnacentral:rRNA from 2 species
UAAUGAGAGCAAUCAAGUGCCUUAAGGGUGUUCGGUGGAUGCCUUGGCGCUGAGAGGCGAUGAAGGACGUGCUACGCUGCGAUAAGCCGUGGGGAGCUGCGAAGAAGCUUUGAUCCAUGGAUUUCCGAAUGGGGAAACCCACCUUCGAUAGCCGGAACUCCAAGACCUUUGUCGAAAGACAUUGGUGUGGGGUUCGAUCAGAAAUGAGAGAUGCCUGGACCUUUAGAUUUCGAUCGAAGAGGUUUUGGAUUUCCGGUUAUCAAGAGAAGGUAUGAGACUUCUGAAUACAUAGGAGGUUUCAAGCAAACCCAGGGAACUGAAACAUCUAAGUACCUGGAGGAAAGGACAUCAACAGAG